rnacentral:tRNA from 1 species
GCGGAGGUGGCGGACUGGCUACGCAGCCGCCUGCAGAGCGGCGUAAGGGGGUUCGAUUCCCUCCCUCCGCU